GUUCGUAGUGAAACUUUAUUGAUAUUAGAGUUUUAUUCAGAUAACAGAGUUUAACUUUAACUCGUACAAAAAUACAAAUUUAAGAAAAACAAAGCAGAGCCGCACGACAGACGGAUGCUUUAAUCCUGCUUGCAGGUACAGGAGAGUCUUUACAGGCAAGUCAGUCCAGGUGAGUCAGUCCAAAUGAGUCUUUACAGGUGAGUCCAGAUGAGUCAGUCCAGGUGAGUCAGUACAGGUGAGUCAGUACAAAUGAGUCUUUAUAGGUGAGUCCAGAUGAGUCAUUCCAAGUGAGUCUUUACAGGUGAGUCCAGGUGAGUCUUUACAGGUGAGUCGCUCCAGGUGAGUUAAGGUGAGUCAGUCCUGAUGAGUCUUUACAGGUGAGUCCAGGUGAGUCAGUCCAGGUGAGUUUUCUUCACCAACUCGAGGAGUUUUCACAGUUCAACACAAAGAAACUUUCCUGUCAUAGUUUAUUAUUUCCUGAAAACGGAAACAGCUGAAAUAUUUCAUCGUGACGCCGAUGAACGAAAACCUUCAAGUACAAAAAUAAAGCUUCUGUCAGUUUCAGAUUUUCAGAGUAAAGCUGCAACAUUUGGAACAGAAAGUUUCGUUCUUCUAUUAAAGGAGGAGUUUUAUGUUUCUGUAGUCUUUCGAGUUUUCAGAGUUUUUCAAAGUAAAACAUUUCAACAGGAUAAAAUAACGCUUUAAAAAACUAACUUUUCUUUCAGUUUGGUUCUUAUUUCGUCUGAGCAGCAUCAAUGAAGUUUACUGAACCGUCGAAAACGUUUUAAAUUAGCUCUUAAAAAUAUGAAACUAAAUCGGUUCUGAAAGAUAAAUUCAGGUGACAGAAUCUUCAUUUGGCCAGAAAUAAAAAUUAUUUUGACUCAAAACAUUCAGAGGAAGUGAAACGGGUUAGAGUCUGUUUUCUAGCUGGACAGGUGAGUUGCUGCCUGAAACACAAACAACUGUUCUUCUAACAUUUUGUUCGUGGUUUAAAUAAAGUCGGAUUUCACAAUAAAAUCCCAACAAUAAAGCAAACCUAAAGUUUUGAUAUUUCUCAGCUUCAAACUAGUCGACAUGAUUGAUCAGAAACUUUAUUAGAAUGAAGCUGCAACAUUAUUAUUAUUGAUUAUUCUAUCGGCUGUUUUCUGCCUGUAAACUGCAUCAGAAAAAUGACAUUGAUUAAUUAAACAGCUGCUGAUUGUUAUUCUGGUGAUCAAUAAAUCGAUUGAUCGCGGCCAAACAUAUUUAAAUUACAGUUUGGAAACAACCAAAAUUAUUCAGAAUAUUUUAUCAACUUUUUUCCCUCCGGUCGCCUCAGAAGGCGGUUACCCUGGCGACAGGGUACCUGCCAUUGCCAUAGCAACAGCCUCAGUCUAUUUUACAGUAUUGAUCUGUUAUCAGUUCCGUAUCGGGAUUUUUUCUGUUUCAACUUUAUUCUGAAACGAUCCUGAAACAACGACUAAAGCAAACAAACGACGGAGCUCAGACUGAAAGGAUGACGGCGCUGACAAAAUAAAUAAGGUGACACGAUCUCUGCUCGACUGUAAACAUCAGUGAUCCGCUUCUCUUCCUGAUGACCAAUCAGAAAAUGUUCGCUGCCCACAGACCGCCAAUGAGGUCCUGAAGCUGCGGUGACAUCAUGCGUGACAUCAGCAGGGCGGGUUCCCCCUCAACCCCAGAGGAACCAGCCUCGGCAUCGGCCUCCAGGCCAUGCCCCCCUCCCUCCUCUCUGCUGAUGCCCCUCCUGCUGCGCUGUCACUGCUGGUGGGUGGGGCAACCUUGGCCCCUCCCACCUUCAUCUGCAGCAGAGGGGGCGGAGUCAGCACAGCUCCUUUAGUGUUUCCUGGUCCCUCCUGCACGCCAGUCGCCUCUGCAUAGCCAUUAAGCCCCACCCCCUCUGUCUCUAUGGCAACGGUGCUGGUAGAGUCCGAGUCUGGCUGUGGGAGUCUGUGGACGUGGUCUCGCUCCUUGGCUUCGCCCACCUCAGAGGUUGGUUUCCCUGGUGAUGGGACCCCUGCUGCCGUCAUCGUGGUGAUGUUCUGCUGGUUGAGGAAGAAGAUCUCGUUGAGGAGUAAUGCCAGAUUCUCGUUGUCCGGGUCACCGUUGGUCUCCUGAGGCCCCGCCCCUUUUACCUGCGACUGACGGUCGGUGCUAACAGACGGCGAGGAUGAAGGUCUGAGGUCGGACUGGUCGCUGCUACGGUCCGAUCCAACAGAGACUGACUGAGGGUCCAACGGCCGGUUCUGUUGUGUUUGUUGUUUGUCCGUCGGUUGUUGUUUGUCUGUCUGCUGUUGUUGUUGUUUGUCUAACUGUUGUUGUUGUUCUUUCUGUUCUUGUUGUGUUGUUGCAGGGUGAACCGCAUGGAGCAUGCUGAAG
ensembl:lncRNA